ACAGUUUCCGCAGCUGUAGAUGGAUGCUAUGGUAGUAUAACCUAAGGUUAUUGUUUCAGAAAGAAUCUACCUUGAUACAGAUGCUCUACACGCCAAGAA
rnacentral:rRNA from 1 species